UAACUUGAGAGUUUGAUUCUGGCUCAGAACGAACGCUGGCGGCAUGCCUAACACAUGCAAGUCGAACGAGACCUUCGGGUCUAGUGGCGCACGGGUGCGUAACGCGUGGGAAUCUGCCCUU
rnacentral:rRNA from 1 species